ensembl:lncRNA
AUGACAUAUGUUAAUUCAGGUUCCACAGUCACGGUGGUCUCAGGAUUGGUGCAGGAAGCAUUUUUAUUAGGGUCCAUGCUGUAUUUUCCAUCUGCUUCAUCAAGGAUCCCUGUCAUGAUGCUGAUGGUUCUCUCUGAAAUUCUCUCUCUGCUUUUUCUACUUCACUGCACAAAACCCUUGAGCAUGCUUGUUCCUCCACUUCAGUAAUCCAGACAUAUGAUUCUAAGAUGGCCACAUCUUCAAAGCUAGAUCUCAGCUUGUCUGUCUGAUUUUCUGGAAUGAAACUGCUUCAGUUCUUUGUCUUGUCCUGUACAUAGAAGAGCACCUGGUAGAGUGCCUGAUUUGGUGAGUGUUUUGGCUGAUUGAAUUAUUAUUUUGAGAUUAGAAGAUUGCUUUUGAAAAUGCACUUUGUUUUGAAACAGAGCUAUUUGGGCCACAAAGUACAGAAAAGUCAUAACUACUGCCAGAAAAAAAGGAGUCUCAAAGAAUAUAGAUUAAGGCAGUGCUUUCUGCUUACAUAUCAAAACAGAAGGAAGCAUUUUUUGGGUUUUCAGCACUUGAUUUCACAAACUCUAUGAAUAAUUUCACUCCAUUAAGCAAAUCUGUAAUCAUUGUAGCCCCGUUUGCUUGUCUAUAAAAUAAAGGGAUUGAAUUACUCUAUCUUUCUGCUCUAAAUUCCUAUGCUCAUAUGUCCAACUGGAUGAUAAUAUUAGCUACAAAUCACAUAUCUAUGUUCUAGUUUAAAUCUUCUCUUUAGGUCUGUGACUUUGGGCUCAGUAUUUAUGUUCUGAAGAUCUUUAAUUUCCUCAUAUAAAAAGUGAUAGGGUUUAAACAGAUGAUUCAUUUCUAAUAUCUAUGAAAUUCCAUAACAUUUAUAGUUCUUAAAUUAUAGUAAUAUUUAAAGCUAUGAAGAUGGGUUUAUUGCACUGUCUCAUGGUGUUUCAGAGUGAUAAAGUUAGGAUUGUUAAAGAAACACUUUUGCCAUGCACAGUUAGGCUCAUAAUCCACGAAAGAUUGCAGUUCAGAAGGUAAGAGGGUAAUAUGAGAUCAGUUACUCUUUGGAAGUCUAAGAUGUUGGAAUCCAAAGAUGAGUACACUUGACCCUGGAGUUCUUUUGUCUCCUGUUCCAGAUAUUAUGGCUUUUUCUUAUAAGAGCAUUAACAAGAACACUUGUAUUGAUUUUUAUUUGUCAUAUAAAUUGUAGGAGUUAAGGCUUGAGCUGUUUUCUUCUAUAGGGAAGGAAUUUAAUCUAGUGUAAAAGCCAGUUGAUGAACUGUUUGGAAAAAUAGGCGUAGACACUGGAACUACUUUAUUAUAACCCAUAAAUCCUUAAUUUGAUCUUGAUUAAUGUUAUAGUAGAGCCAGAACCCAGAAUUUUUUAUUUAGAGAACCUUUGGGAUUAUGUGAAUCUAUUGGACAUAAAUGCCUUUGAGAAUGCAAACAUCUAGGUUACCACUGUUUAGACAGAAAAAUAAGAUUAGUAGACAUUUACUUCCCAGUUACCUGAAAUACUUUCCCCAUGAUAUUUUUAAAAAUUUACAUUUAUUUUAUAUUUCAUUAUCUGCAAAUGGAGUUUCUGGCUAAGUGCAUUCACCAAAAUGAGCAAUGUCGUUUCUUUCUAAUAUUCAAAAGUUUUUUUAGUAGUGACUAUGAAACUAUAAAUCAGAGAAUAUAAAAUUUUAUCAUUAGAAAUGAUGUGUUUUAGAAUGCUUAUUAUUGAAACUGUUUACAUACUUUUGUAUAUAAUACUUAUUGAGGUUGCUUGUAAUGACAAAAAUUUGGUAAAAUUAGAAACAUAAAGAAGGAUAUCCCAUUUCAUAAAAAGUUGUCACAGAAUUAAAACAAGUAGCUCUACAUUAAAUUUAAAACACAAUGCAAAAUUUUGAUGAUUAUUACAUCCAAUUUUAAGAAAAUAUUUUUGUACCACAACAGAAAGCACAAUGAAUAUGGAGACACAAAUUUGAAUAGCUGAAAAAUUAAAAAGAAAAAUAAAUUUAUAUUUGUAUUCAGAGUCAAGACAUUUUUGUAUUGGUUAUAUGUCUCAUGACAUUUUUGCUAAAGAGUUGGAGUCAUUAUAUUUAUUUUUGUUUCUUUAGAAAUAUUUUAAAAUCCAUUGAAAUCAUACAUUCAAAUUACUACUACUCAUUUUAUCAGAGCUAAACAGUAUA